rnacentral:rRNA from 1 species
UGGGGAAUAUUGCACAAUGGGCGCAAGCCUGAUGCAGCCAUGCCGCGUGUGUGAAGAAGGCCUUCGGGUUGUAAAGCACUUUCAGCGGGGAGGAAGGCGGUGAGGUUAAUAACCUCAUCGAUUGACGUUACCCGCAGAAGAAGCACCGGCUAACUCCGUGCCAGCAGCCGCGGUAAUACGGAGGGUGCAAGCGUUAAUCGGAAUUACUGGGCGUAAAGCGCACGCAGGCGGUCUGUCAAGUCGGAUGUGAAAUCCCCGGGCUCAACCUGGGAACUGCAUUCGAAACUGGCAGGCUAGAGUCUUGUAGAGGGGGGUAGAAUUCCAGGUGUAGCGGUGAAAUGCGUAGAGAUCUGGAGGAAUACCGGUGGCGAAGGCGGCCCCCUGGACGAAGACUGACGCUCAGGUGCGAAAGAGUGGGGAGCAAACAGG